CUUCGGGUUGUAAACCUCUUUUAGUAGGGAAGAAGCGAAAGUGACGGUACCUGCAGAAAAAGCACCGGCUAACUACGUGCCAGCAGCCGCGGUAAUACGUAGGGUGCAAGCGUUGUCCGGAAUUACUGGGCGUAAAGAGCUCGUAGGUGGUUUGUCACGUUGUUCGUGAAAACUCACAACUCAAUUGUGGGCGUGCGGGCGAUACGGGCAGACUUGAGUACUGCAGGGGAGACUGGAAUUCCUGGUGUAGCGGUGGAAUGCGCAGAUAUCAGGAGGAACACCGGUGGCGAAGGCGGGUCUCUGGGCAGUAACUGACGCUGAGGAGCGAAAGCGUGGGGAGCGAACAGGAUUAGAUACCCUGGUAGUCCACGCCGUAAACGGUGGGUACUAGGUGUGGGUUUCCUUCCUUGGGAUCCGUGCCGUAGCUAACGCAUUAAGUACCCCGCCUGGGGAGUACGGCCGCAAGGUUAAAACUCAAAUGAAUUGACGGGGGCCCGCACAAGCGGUGGAGCAUGUGGUUUAAUUCGAUGCAACGCGAAGAACCUUACCUACUCUUGACAUCCACGGAACUUGCCAGAGAUGGCUUGGUGCCUUCGGGAACCGUGAGACAGGUGCUGCAUGGCUGUCGUCAGCUCGUGUCGUGAGAUGUUGGGUUAAGUCCCGCAACGAGCGCAACCCUCGCCUUUAGUUGCCAGCACGUUUGGGUGGGCACUCUAGAGGAACUGCCGGUGACAAGCCGGAGGAAGGUGGGGAUGACGUC
rnacentral:rRNA from 1 species